UCUCUGCCAGCAUUGGCAGCACCGCCACCAGCACCGCCGGCCUCAGGACCAAGCCCACCACCAGCGGGCGUUGACGGAGGUGGGUGUGCGGCUCUGGCGCAGCUGAGCCGUCGACCGCCGGAGCCAAUCCGGCAGUCCGGCAUUUCAGCUGCCGCACACUCGCCCGUCACAGCAUGAGAGGCCUCCCGAGACAGCUCCCCGCGCGGCCAGCUGUCGCCAUGACGGUGACCAGAGCCCGGGGACAGACGCUCGGUCGGGUGUCCGUCUCUCUGAAGGAGCCAGUGUUCAGCCGCGGGCAGACAGAUCCAUCACGAUCAGCUGGUGUAGGCCAUCCACGACAGAUGAGUGCUAUACAAGCCUGCCUCCGCC